UAUUAUUUCCUCAUAUUUUGAAUUCUUAGUAAAAAUCUUGAUUCCGUCACUGUCACUAAUAUGUACCCUUUUAUGAUCAAUUCACUUGAUGGACAUCUAUAUAUGGGACCUUUUAUUGAAAGAAAAAAUGCAGUUUACACAUUCUAUUUCUUCAAUUAUUCUCUACAAUUCAAAAUAUAUUUGAAACAUGGCUAGCAAGUGCUCAUCUUUUACACUAGCUUUCUUUUUCACUAUCCUCUUCAUGAUGGCUUCAGUUCACCAUGUUGUUGCUCUAAGAGAGCUUCAUUCAGAAAUACAAAUUCUUGAACAAGUUAUACUCCCAAAUCUUGGGAAAAAAGGUUGUGGGCACAGAUGUAAGACAAAUGAUGGUUGCAAACCACUAAGGUUUUGUGUUUCAUGUGAGUAUAUUGAAAAACUUGGGAGGUUAGGUUGUCUCCCUAAGAGUGAGGUGAUGUAAUUAAUUAAGCUCAAUUUAUCAUCAACAGGGGCAGAGUUACAGUUCUGCUUCUACGAGUUCCGAAAUAUUCAAUAACUUUUAACUCAGAUGUUGUAUUUGAGUUAAGAAAAUUCGUGUAUUAAUCCAAUAAGUUGCUUUUUUUUAGAAUUUGGAACUCAUAAUGUUGGUGUGAGUAUUUGAUUAUGUAGAAUAAAUUUUCUUGUUAUAAAGUGUUGCCCUGAGCCUUGGUGCCUUGGCCUGUAUUUUUACCCUAUUA